rnacentral:rRNA from 1 species
UACGUAGGGUGCAAGCGUUAAUCGGAAUUACUGGGCGUAAAGCGCGCGCAGGCGGUCUUUUAAGUCUGAUGUGAAAGCCCACGGCUCAACCGUGGAAGGUCAUUGGAAACUGGGAGACUUGAGUACAGAAGAGGAAAGCGGAAUUCCACGUGUAGCGGUGAAAUGCGUAGAGAUGUGGAGGAACACCAGUGGCGAAGGCGGCUUUCUGGUCGUGUAACUGACGCUGAGGCGCGAAAGCGUGGGGAGCAAACAGG